ensembl:lncRNA
AUAUGAACCAACCAACAUCAAGUAAUCAAAUUAGGAGCGCAAAGGCUUGUGGGCACUCGCCACAACCAGGAGGUGCCACACAUCAGUACCUUGCCACCAAGGCUCAUGAUGUUGUGUAUUGGUGGCUGUGACUACGGCCGUAUGCGCAGCAGCAUCAGGUUGCUGACAGCCCAGAUCAGUUUCUUCGCUUGUGCUAGUGCGAGGGGCGGGUGGCACAAAGUAGGAAUAGGGAAUAGAUGUAUAUUUCUUUUGGUGCCGAUGCAUUUCCAACUUAAACUUCGUGUGAAAAGGUGGAGUUGA